rnacentral:rRNA from 1 species
UACAGAGGGGGCAAGCGUUGUUCGGAAUUACUGGGCGUAAAGGGCGCGUAGGCGGCCUUCUAAGUCGAACGUGAAAUCCCCGGGCUCAACCCGGGAACUGCGUCCGAUACUGGAAGGCUUGAAUCCGGGAGAGGGAUGCGGAAUUCCAGGUGUAGCGGUGAAAUGCGUAGAUAUCUGGAGGAACACCGGUGGCGAAGGCGGCAUCCUGGACCGACACUGACGCUGAGGAGCGAAAGCCAGGGGAGCAAACGGG